UAUAAAUAAUAAAACACUAGUAUGGGAGGAAGGUUCAGCUUCCAACAAAAUAGUUUACAUGACAUAAUUUUCAAGGGAUGUGACAUGAUUUAAUUUAAAUUAUUUUCAUGCACUAUUCUGAUACAGAUUAGUGUGUAGAGAAAAAAAAAAAGUUACUACAUUUUGCUUUACUUGGUCUUGUCCCAGGGAACAAGAUUGAAAGACUUUUUUUCACUGCAGAGUGUAAGUUAAUUACUAAACUCCAGGAGUAAAAGUAAUUCUUAAUUUAGCAUCUAGAUUCACUUGGCCCAAUUAAAUGGUCAGGUUGAAUUUCCUUCACUGAAUUCACCGCUGCCAGACUAAUGCAUUCUGGAAAAUCAAAACCCAACUGAUAAUAAAGUAAGUCCCAGUGGUCCCAAGUACACAGACCAUUGCUUUUUCUUUAAAAUUUGUCUAGAGGUCACGAUCAUAGCAACUGGUUGCAGUCUAGGUUUUUGAUGUGCGUUUAACUAUUAACUAUUUAACUAUUACAGAUUGUUUAGUAGAAAAUAAACUUAAUAGGUACUUAAAGAGUAGGAUUGCCAUCAUCAGAGGAACUCAUGGGAUUCUGGUUAGCAUACUAAUAUAAGAUUCAAGAGUAGAAUUUUUCUCAUAAAUAUAGCGAAAUACAAGCAUUUUUUGUCUCGUGGAGUACUUGUGUUUUUGCAGUAUCAUAAAUUUGAGAAAUCACAAACAACAAACAUUUUAUUUCAGGUGUCCUGAAAAUACGACAAACACAUUUGUCUACCAUAGUGCUUAAGUACUUGGCGUAUCUGCAGUAUUACAAAUCUGAGGGACUGCAGGCAAUGACCAUUUUAUUUCAGGUGUCCUGAAAAUAAGACACAUUAACCCUGUUUCAGAGUUCAUAUACUGUCAAAGCAUACAAACAGUUUGAAGACAUGGAGAGUCAAGUGUCCAUUUGUGUACACCAUUAGCCUGGAUAUUACUGGCAAUCUCAAUAUUGUAAAAGAUGUUCAUAUCGGCAUUGGAGCAAAGAAGAUAUUCAAAAUACUUCUGAAAGGGUAUGAGGCAGUAUGCUACUGAGGAGGGAAAACAGAAGGGCAAAAGUUGCUUGUAUUUCUAAAUCCAAUGAGCAGGUGGUCAAAGCUGACAUCACAGGCUUACAAAAUGAGUUUUGGUAAAGUACGUCUUUCAAGGUUUGGAGAUAAUGCUCUGUAUCCUUUAGAAGGGAAACAGAUAUUUUCUUCUGUAACAAAGAAAUGGUGGAAGGAUUAAGGAGAAGGCUAAAAGGCAAAAAAAAAAAAGUGUUGAUUAAAAUUAGAUUCAGAAGCAUUCUGAAUGAGUAUUAAUAUAUCCUUUUUCUUUCUCAAAAGGAAAACAUAUUUUCAGUAAUUUUUCUGCUUGUAAUGAAACCAUGGAUUAUAUACAUUGACUAAAGCUGUGGGUCAAGACUGUUUAAUAGUAAUUUGAACAAUUGUGCUACAAUUUUAAUGAAAAUACAGAUUUGGUACCUAAUUGCUGAUGUUUCAGAAACUUUCAAAAUCUACUUUUCCAAACUUUCAAUUAAUAUGAAAAAAUAUCUAGUUUUUGAAGGAUUUUCAUUAUCUUGAAAUUUUGAUGUCACAUAAAAUUUUCAAGACAAAUAGUUUUAUGUAAUUAAAAAAAAAAAAGGCUAUAUUUUAAGUGUUGUUCGUAAAGAAAAAAUACAGUCUGUAGGUCAUAUGCAAAGACAAGGAUAUUUGGUGAUGACAGCUGAAAUUUGGUGUACAGAAUGAUGUCCUCAGUCAUAAAAGCAGCAAGCAGCGAAAAAGACUUGGGCAAACUAGAAGCCGUUAUGAAUUUGAUUUGAUGGUAAAAUAUCUCUGUGAAGUGAUGGAACAAAGCUGCUUUUGUUUGAAUGAAAUACCUGUAAAAGGGUGAAUUUAAAUUUUACCAGAUGCAGGUAGGUUUUUGAUGGUUGUUGUUUAAAAAGAGUAGAGAAAAGGACCUCUAUGCAGUUUCUGCAGGAAAUUGCAAAGCAGAUGACUGGUACCCCUCAGUUGUUGAUUAGGGGAGGAAAAGAGCAGGAAAAAAAAAAUUAUGAGAUCAAAAAAAUGUGUUUGGAUCAGAAAUGGUAGACACAGCACGGAAUAUGUGGAGAAGUUCUUUAGGAAAUCUAGCUGAAAAGUCGUUAGUUAUCCAUUGGGAGUGUUCUAAUACGUUCUGUGUAUUUGCACACCAAUAAAUGUCUAGAGUAUAAACGGAAGAAGAAAGAUAAUUAGCACAUAAAAUAAACUUAGAAAUGGAAGUAGAGUGGGCUACAUUUAAGUAUGUGUGAGCGUAGCUUUUACUUAAAAACACAAAACUAGAGAACUACAUAAAUAAAAAUAAGUGUUUUGGAAAAA